GUUAACGUUGCUUUAGCAACGGCCCGAAGGGCGAGGCGAAGCCGAGUCAUCCUGCACGACCCACCA
rnacentral:sRNA from 1 species